rnacentral:rRNA from 1 species
UCCAGACUCCUACGGGAGGCAGCAGUGGGGGAUAUUGCACAAUGGGGGGAACCCUGAUGCAGCGACGCCGCGUGGGUGAAGGAGCGUUUCGGCACGUAAAGCCCUAUCGGCAGGGAAGAAGGAGGACGGUACCUGACUAAGAAGCCCCGGCUAACUACGUGCCAGCAGCCGCGGUAAUACGUAGGGGGCAAGCGUUAUCCGGAUUUACUGGGUGUAAAGGGGGCGCAGACGGCGAUGCAAGCCAGGAGUGAAAGCCCGGGGCCCAACCCCGGGACUGCUCUUGGAACUGCGUGGCUGGAGUGCAGGAGGGGCAGGCGGAAUUCCUGGUGUAGCGGUGAAAUGCGUAGAUAUCAGGAGGAACACCGGUGGCGAAGGCGGCCUGCUGGACUGCAACUGACGUUGAGGCUCGAAAGCGUGGGGAGCAAACAGGAUUAGAUACCCCUGUAG